GUCUGUGAUCAUACCACCCUGAAUGCACCUAAUCUCAUUUGAUUUUGGAAGCUAAGCAGGAUUGGGCCUGGUUAGUACUUGGAUGGGAGACUGCCUUGGGAGUAGUGGGUGCUGUAGGCU
rnacentral:rRNA from 1 species